GGGGAUGUAGCUCAGCGAUACAGUGCCUGCCUGGCAAGCAUGAGGCUCUGGGUUUGAUUCCCAGUACCA
rnacentral:tRNA from 1 species